rnacentral:rRNA from 1 species
GACGAACGCUGGCGGCGUGCCUAAUACAUGCAAGUAGAACGCUGAAGGAGGAGCUUGCUCUUCUGGAUGAGUUGCGAACGGGUGAGUAACGCGUAGGUAACCUGCCUGGUAGCGGGGGAUAACUAUUGGAAACGAUAGCUAAUACCGCAUAACAGUAGAUGUUGCAUGACAUUUGCUUAAAAGGUGCAAUUGCAUCACUACCAGAUGGACCUGCGUUGUAUUAGCUAGUUGGUGGGGUAACGGCUCACCAAGGCGACGAUACAUAGCCGACCUGAGAGGGUGAUCGGCCACACUGGGACUGAGACACGGCCCAGACUCCUACGGGAGGCAGCAGUAGGGAAUCUUCGGCAAUAGACGGAAGUCUGACCGAGCAACGCCGCGUGAGUGAAGAAGGUUUUCGGAUCGUAAAGCUCUGUUGUAAGAGAAGAACGAGUGUGAGAGUGGAAAGUUCACACUGUGACGGUAUCUUACCAGAAAGGGACGGCUAACUACGUG